rnacentral:rRNA from 1 species
UACGAAGGGGGCUAGCGUUGCUCGGAAUCACUGGGCGUAAAGGGUGCGUAGGCGGGUCUUUAAGUCAGGGGGGAAAUCCUGGAGCUCAACUCCAGAACUGCCUUUGAUACUGAAGAUCUUGAGUUCGGGAGAGGUGAGUGGAACUGCGAGUGUAGAGGUGAAAUUCGUAGAUAUUCGCAAGAACACCAGUGGCGAAGGCGGCUCACUGGCCCGAUACUGACGCUGAGGCACGAAAGCGUGGGAAGCAAACAGG